rnacentral:rRNA from 1 species
UACGUAGGUGGCAAGCGUUGUCCGGAAUUAUUGGGCGUAAAGCGCGCGCAGGUGGUUUAAUAAGUCUGAUGUGAAAGCCCACGGCUCAACCGUGGAGGGUCAUUGGAAACUGUUAAACUUGAGUGCAGGAGAGAAAAGUGGAAUUCCUAGUGUAGCGGUGAAAUGCGUAGAGAUUAGGAGGAAUACCAGUGGCGAAGGCGACUUGCUGGAAUCUAACUGACGCUGAGGUACGAAAGCGUGGGGAGCAAACAGG